rnacentral:tRNA from 1 species
GGAGGAAUACCCAAGUCCGGCUGAAGGGAUCGGUCUUGAAAACCGACAGGGGAUUAACGGCUCGCGGGGGUUCGAAUCCCUCUUCCUCCGCCA